rnacentral:rRNA from 1 species
AUUGAACGCUGGCGGCAUGCUUUACACAUGCAAGUCGAACGGUAACAGGGAGCUUGCUCCGCUGACGAGUGGCGAACGGGUGAGUAAUAUAUCGGAACGUGCCCAAAAGUGGGGGAUAACGUAGCGAAAGUUACGCUAAUACCGCAUACGAUCCAAGGAUGAAAGCAGGGGACCUUCGGGCCUUGUGCUCCUGGAGCGGCCGAUAUCUGAUUAGCUAGUUGGUGAGGUAAAGGCUCACCAAGGCGACGAUCAGUAGCUGGUCUGAGAGGACGACCAGCCACACUGGAACUGAGACACGGUCCAGACUCCUACGGGAGGCAGCAGUGGGGAAUUUUGGACAAUGGGGGCAACCCUGAUCCAGCAAUGCCGCGUGAGUGAAGAAGGCCUUCGGGUUGUAAAGCUCUUUUGUCUGGGAAGAAAAGGGUACGGCUAAUAUCCGUGCCUCAUGACGGUACCUGAAGAAUAAGCACCGGCUAACUACGUGCCAGCCGCCGCGUAA